AAUAGAUGAUGCCGUUGACUUUUUCUCACAUGUUUGACCAUUCGUCUUAUUCAAAAAAUUUACGUAAUUAUAAUUUAUUUUAUUAUGAGUUGUUUUUUCACUCAUAGUACUUUAAGUGUGAUUUAUAUCUUAUACAUUUGCAUAAAACUUUUGAAUAAGACGAAUGGUCAAACAUGUGAGAAAAAGUCAACUGCGUCAUCUAUU
rnacentral:pre_miRNA from 1 species